rnacentral:rRNA from 1 species
GAUGAACGCUGGCGGCGUGCCUAAUACAUGCAAGUCGAGCGAACGGACGAGAAGCUUGCUUCUCUGAUGUUAGCGGCGGACGGGUCAGUAACACGUGGAUAACCUACCUAUAAGACUGGGAUAACUUCGGGAAACCGGAGCUAAUACCGGAUAAUAUUUUGAACCGCAUGGUUCAAAAGUGAAAGACGGUCUUGCUGUCACUUAUAGAUGGAUCCGCGCUGCAUUAGCUAGUUGGUAAGGUAACGGCUUACCAAGGCAACGAUGCAUAGCCGACCUGAGAGGGAGGUCGGCUACCCUGGAACUGAGACACGGUCCAGACUUCGAGGGGAAGCAGCAGUAGGGAAUCUUACGCAAUGGGCGAAAGCCUGACGGAGCAAAGCCGCGUGAGUGAUGACGGUCUUCGGAUCGUAAAACGCUGUUAUUAGGGAAGAACAAAUGUGUAAGUAACUGUGCACAUCCUGACGGUACCUAAUCAGAAAGCCACGGCUAACUACGUG